rnacentral:lncRNA from 1 species
CCCACCUUUGUGACUGUGGUAAAUAUAAGCUCUUACCCCGGCCAGCAAAUCCACACUGUUCACCCUGCUCCCACACAGGCACCUGGGCUGUUCCUCACACCGGGAAGCUCUUUUCUGCCCCUGAGCCUUUGGAUUUGCUGCUCCUUCUGCCUGGACUACCCUUCUUCCCAGAUGUUUAAAGGAUUGGUCCCUUCUCAUCAUUUAUGUCUCAACUCAAAUGCCAAUGUCCUCAUUUGUUUCUUCGUGCAGUGGCUUUUGUCCCUGACCCCCCCAGCUUUGAUGUAUACUCUAUGAGGCAGAAACCCUGCUGUCCUUCCUCACCAUUCACCAUGAGCAGGGUCUAUAACAUACUGGAGGUACAGCAGGUGCUCAUGAAAUAUUUAUUGAGUGAAUUAUGGCAGUGGUGACAAAUACCUUAUUUCUCCACAAGGCUUUAAACCAUAGCUAUAAAGUGUGGUAAAAAAUGUAUGACUGUGAAAAAAUUUUUAAUUAUUACAAUAAGAGACAUACUGUCAUUAAUCCCCUUCAAAAUACUUUUUUUUGCUUUGAACACAUUUAUCUCAUCAUUCCUGCCGCUUCCUGAAGCACUUCUGGAAGUCUUCCUUUGUGAGAGUCUUUAAUUGUGCUAUCACACCUGCCUUGAUGUCCUGAAUCUAUCCAAAACAUUUACUUUUCGUGGUCAUUUUGGCUUGGGAGAAGAGCCAGAACUCUGUGCCAGAUCCAGGGAGUAAGGUAGGUAAAGACACAGCACCAUAUUUUUAUGGGCCUGCCUUUCCCUUGGAUAGCACUCAGCAGCAGCCGCCGCCUCUGUUCCUGAUCACACUUUGUAAAGACACUCAUGAAAGAGGACUUCCAGAACUGCUUCAGAGAGUUGCAAGAAAGAUGGGAUAAGCAUGUUUAAAGCAAGGGGGAGUAUUUUGAGGGAGAUUCAUGACAAUGUGUCUUUACUAUAAUAAAUGUUCAGGAAAAAUAUAUAUUCAUAUUCACCAUAUCUUUUGAUCACACCACAUAGAUGUUUUCAGCCUUUCCCCAAAUCUGCCAGGUUCUGAUUCGGCCCGUCUGAGGGGGUUCUCAUGCCUCCAGUCCCCUCAGGGCUGUAGAUGUCCAAUGCCGUGAUUUAGGCUCUGGAGAGGAAGAGAACCAGACAGAGGUCACCAGAGCUGAGCCUCUCACUGUCCUGCCCCAGGUGGCCUGGCUCUCCCUGGCCAGCCCUGCAACCAGGCCCCCAGGUUGGUGUUGGGGCUGAACACAGAGGAAGCAGUGGCUGCUGAGCUCACGGAGUCUGGCCAAGCCACGUCUGAGAGGCCCUCUCGGGAGGAGAGGCGAGGCAUGGGCCGUGGUGCCCUGUGGCUUUUUCCUCCUGGCCUCAUAAACAUCCAUCUCUGCUAGGAGACGCUAUAUUCAGUGGGAAGCUGAGAAACUGAAAUCGCAACCAGACAUAAAUACGGGGCAUCCCCCCCCUUCCUCUGUGGGGAGCGGCAGCCUAGCCUGGCAGACACAGCAGGUGGAGGGGCUCCCACCCCAAGACAGCCAGGGCCACAUCACCUGCUCCCGGCACAGUAACUGGCCCAUGUGACAUAACCCUUGCUCUUCUCUGUGCCCAGGCACCAGCUAUGACAGCUACAAGCUGUUUCUCCGUGGGCAAAUCACUCAACCGCUCUGAUCCCCCCCGGCCUCGUGGGGGAAAUACGUGAUAAAAGCACCUGCCCCACGGUGCUCACAGAGCACAGAGAACACGCUCCACAAGGCUCUUAGGACAGCGUCUCUCUCAGCACAUUUCUAAAAAUAUGCUUUAUUGGAUUUCUCCUUUCGAGCUACAGAGGCAGUACACGUCCCUGACAACAUGCCCAUCGGCAGAGAGGUGAGCGGAAGAAAAGCUCUCAUCUGCCUUCCCUCCAACCUCCCGGGCCCUGCCCGCCCCCACGAGUUCCCGCAGGAGGUGACAGUCAGCGCUUUGCCUUCUCCGCUCUUCAGGGCCCUUCUCGGCACGUGCGGCUUCAUUUUCACAGAAAUGGCCCAAUUUCGCAUGCCUUUCCCGGGCUAGUGUAGCUCUCAGAGGUCCGCGUGAACUUCUGAGUCCCCGCUGGUGGCAGCCGGGCCACGUCCCUGUCCAGCCCAGCCGCGCUGCAGGACCCGUCUCCCGCCUGCUUUCUCUGGGCGGAGCCGCAGGGCACCGGGCAAAGGGCGCGGUUUUGUGCUCCGGCCCGGGCCGUGCCGCGGACCAGGUGAUCUGAGCGGCCCGGCCCAGCAGCGCGGGCCACACUGGCUCCGGGUCUCCGGGGGGCGCUCCCUUCCUGACACCAGGCUGGACACACGAGCGAAGGCCCGCGUCACCUUAUCCCUUGCCACGGCCCAGAGGGACAGGUGAUGGGUGGGGUGGGCGGCAGGUGAGGUGAGGCCUUGGGAUUGGGCCCCCAGACUCUGAGCAGUGAAGCCCGCGGGUGUCAGCCCAGGAAUGCUCCUGUGCGCCGCGGCUCUCAGGCAGGUCCCUGGGUGCCGCUCCUCACCGAUGGUCACAGACCGACCCAGAGAACGACACGGGGAGCCAGGUGGAGGGACACCUGGGCAAAGGCCCCGCCCAGGCCACUCUGGCUCCCAGACCAGGGUCUCCUCCCUGGCCAGGCCUGGGUGCUGUCCCCUGAGCUGGCUCCCUGCGCGCCACCCUUACCUCAUGUCAUCCGGUUACUCGGCCAGCAAUUAUUGAGCGCCUCCUGUAUGCAGGGCACCGUGCCGUGCCAGGGGGUGUGCUGGUGAACAGAUGAGGCCACAUCCUCCCGGCUACCAGGGUCCUCCAAACAUGCCACAUCCCGUCCCGGGAACUGUGCGGACCGUAGUUACUUCAGGGGCGCAGGGGACUUGGCAGGCAGGAUUACAUGGGGGUUGAGAGAUGAGAUAAUUACUCCGCAUUACCCCCUCGGGGCCCAUAUCAACGCAGCCCUUCCCCGAGGGAGGCAGGAAGGCCAGCAGGAGAAAGUGGGGAGGGAGGCAGGGAUCAGAGACCUGAGGAGUUGCUCCCGGAGGGAGGGCCAGGGGCCCAGGAUGCCAGCGGCCCAGAGCCCCUCCCCUCGCUUCCAGGAGACAGGCAGCCCCGUCCUGUUCUAGACUUCGGCCCCCAGAACUGUAAGGUAAGAAGCGUGCAUUGCUUUAAGCUUCCAGUUUCUGGAAAUCUGUGACACCACCCUCAGGAAACUAAUACAAACGUCUAGCAAGAGGAGGCAGAUCCUAAGUUCCGUUAGGACAAGAUGUGAAAUCUGGUGAGAACACAGUGCAAGAGAAAGCACAGCCCCUCCUGAUGAGAAAGGAUCGCGGGUUUCAGAUCAGCGACAGCAGAGCAUUCCAAGUACCGGCUCCUCUGUGCACACAGCCUCGUACAGCUGCCCGGGUCGCACACUCACCGAGCCUGCCCUGAAUCCCACCACCAGGAGUCCAGCGGAGCAAUCAGGGCAGAAGUAAAAGCACAGGGUCCCGAGAGAGUGUGGGACCGUGGGGAAGCCAGGCUGGGGUGCGCAGAGCUCUCUGAGGGCCACAGUUUGCUCUGGGGCUGGGGAGUGGGAGGUGUGGGAGGGCUCUGCGCCCCCUCACCUGGAGAAGCAGCGCAUCCCCCGCAUCCCCCGCAUCCCCGGCGGCGAGGAGCGCCCUUCCGCCUUCCCAGGCUUGGCCUCUCCUCCCCUCCCCUCCCCUCCCCUCCGGCCUUCCUUUAAUUUCCUCGGCUGGCUUUAACACCGCCCUUCCGGGGUCAACUCCGCCCUUCACCUCUGUCCCUGUGGACCGUUUACAGUCAGCUCAGCGUUGGGGUACCUUUGGACUGAGAGUAGCGGAGGUGGUGUGGGGCGCCCAUCCACCUUCCCCCAAGACGCCGCCUCCCCUGCCGCCACGGAAGCGGAGAAGCGGAGCUCGCACGCUGCUAACCAGAGCCCGUGCAUCCCCCUCUUCCUCUUCCGCUCCAGGGCGCAGGUGCUCCCCUCCUGUCCUUGAGUUAAUCCAGGUGCCACAACGCCCUGGGCUCAGCGAAACUUGCUUAAACCUCCCCGGAUUCUCACCCUCACCUGCUCUCCACUUCGCGAGGAGAUGGAGGCCCAAGGCUCCCAGAGUGCUGGGAUUGCCGGCGGCGUGUGUCACCGCCACAACCAGCCUCGAGUGGUUUUGAAGGCUGCCGCACCACGCGCUAUCCUGGCUGUAACAGCAAGGAGGAAGAGGGCACUUCAUCCUACGUUCAAGCAGAUACUGGCGCCAGGGUUCUGGGUGAAUGCAGAUGGGCCCCUCCUCUGCCCCUCAAGAAUGGCUCUCUGUCCUGGGGAGUCACUGGCUGGGGCUGGGGAUGAACCCAGGUGAGUCACCUGCAAAGGUAAACACUAACUGGCUCCCUGUUUCCUAAGCACCUACUUGGUGCCAGGUGCCGCGUGGCAUCUGACAGGCUUUGAGGUUAGUCCUGUUUAUGAACCCUGUUUCACAAAGGUUCAGGGAAGCAAUGGGGCUAGGCCAGGGGUGCACAGAAGUCAGGGGGAUCUGAACAAGUCCCCUGCCACCUUCCAAUCACCUCUGAUCACGUCUCCUCAGGAGAUGCCAGGGGCUUGUCUCUGGGGUGACCGGGAGGCCGAGAACUUCCUCUGGUUCUGACAGAGCUUUCCAGAAUCCGACAGCUCCUUGAGUGUCCUGCACAGGUUGCUUUAGGCAAAUCAGUGUAGGAAGAGAUAUCUUCCCUACAAAGGUAAAUCACGGAGUGAUAGUUGACUUACAAAAUUAUUCAUGAAUGACCCUGAGGUGGAGAAUUUGAAAUCUGCUUUUCAAUCCUCUGACCAUUUUCUCUUUCUACUUCUGAUUGCAGCCGCUGGGGCAAGGCGCAUGGCAGGGGCUGGAAAGGCAGCACCAUUUUCUGCAGCUUUGGCUGCAACCAGCCCCAAGGCCUGGUAGGUAGAAGUUUCUGGAAAAGGCCUCAUGGAGCAGGAAGCGGAUGGCCUCUGAGCAGAGCAGGUGCGGAGGCCCAUGUUGUGGUCAUCUGCACCUCGACCUCAGGCAGGAACUCAAACGGAGAGAUUGAGCUACCACAAGAUGGGCCUGAUCCAGUGUGAUGUUCAGACCUCAGCAGCCACAUUCAAAACAUGCUUUUGUUUUAAACACGUUGACGUCUUUUAAGUUUGAAAUUUUAGAGAGCAUGUCUGUAUUUUCCCCCUAAAAAGCAAUGAGCACGUCUGUGUCCCCUGCCAGCCCCAUUCCCCUGACGACGACGACGUCCCAACUCCACAAGUGACAUGCAGCCACUCAGUGCGAGUCCAAGCUAAUACAAAUAUCUAUUCUCACACACUCCCUCUUUUAAUGAAAAGAGGUAUACACUACAUCCUGCGUUGGACCUUCUUCUUCUUACCUAGGUUUAGAGAUAGUUUAGAGAUGUCCCUCACUGUUUUCCACAGCCUUAUACACAGAAUUCCACCGCAGUACGAGGAGCCUGCGGUUUGUUUAACCAGCAUCAUAUAGAUGCGGUGGGG